UACGUAGGGGGCAAGCGUUGUCCGGAUUUAUUGGGCGUAAAGAACGUGUAGGCGGCCAGACAGGUCCGUUGUGAAAACUCGAGGCUCAACCUCGAGAUGUCGAUGGAAACCGUCUGGCUAGAGUCCGGAAGAGGAGUGUGGAAUUCCUGGUGUAGCGGUGAAAUGCGCAGAUAUCAGGAAGAACACCUAUGGCGAAGGCAGCACUCUGGGACGGUACUGACGCUGAGACGCGAAAGCGUGGGGAGCGAACAGG
rnacentral:rRNA from 1 species